UUAUAUAUUCAUUUUAUGUUUUUGAAAAUAACACACAUAUUCAAACUAGCACGUGUAAUAGAGAAAUUUCCUAAAAUUUGUACACUGAGUAAACCAUAUUUUUCUAAUGAUUUCGUUGAUAGAGCAGCUUUCUAGAUGCAGCCCUGUUCACAUGUGACUGGUAUUUACCUUCUUUCAUCAAACAUGUCUUUAGAAUCGACUCAAGGCAAGAUGCAGUAGAGAAAUGUAAGAGCCAACUAGAGGAGCCAUUUAACUACUAGGUGCAUCUUCUCCAGCAAGUUCUUCAGCAUCCUUUCCAGAAGCAUUCGACAGCCAAGGAAGCAGGCUACGCCUCACCUACUCCUUCCUGGGCUAAAGAUCUCAGACUUAGUUGCUUAAUUUGGGAAAAAUAAAUUAAAGAAGUCUUCUAUCAUUAUACGCAACAUAGAAUAA
ensembl:lncRNA novel transcript